GCAAGCCGCGCAGGCGGCUAUAUAAAAGUUAUAAAGACAGUAUUGUUACAUCAUGUGCCCUCUUAAAAUUUAACUAAUUGCUGGAAACUCUUGUUAUAACUAGACAAUCAGCAGGAAACCAACGGAUGGAUAAAUAUCCUAGUAGGAUCUACAGAGACUACACGUUAAAAAUUAAUACGUUAACUUAAUAUAUUUAACCUAUUAAUUAAGAUAUAGUCCAAUUCGUUUAUUUAUAAGUGG
rfam:Sclerotinia sclerotiorum 1980 TF-70 mitochondrion, complete genome.